GAUGAACGCUGGCGGCGUGCCUAAUACAUGCAAGUCGAGCGAAUGGAUUAAGAGCUUGCUCUUAUGAAGUUAGCGGCGGACGGGUGAGUAACACGUGGGUAACCUGCCCAUAAGACUGGGAUAACUCCGGGAAACCGGGGCUAAUACCGGAUAACAUUUUGAACCGCAUGGUUCGAAAUUGAAAGGCGGCUUCGGCUGUCACUUAUGGAUGGACCCGCGUCGCAUUAGCUAGUUGGUGAGGUAACGGAUCACCAAGGCAACGAUGCGUAGCCGACCUGGGAGGGUGCUCGGCCACACUGGGACUGAGACACGGCCCAGACUCCUACGGGAGGCAGCAGUAGGGAAUCUUCCGCAAUGGACGAAAGUCUGACGGAGCAACGCCGCGUGAGUGAUGAAGGCUUUCGGGUCGUAAAACUCUGUUGUUAGGGAAGAACAAGUGCUAGUUGAAUAAGCUGACACCUUGACGGUACCUAACCAGAAAGCCACGGCUAACUACGUGCCAGCCGCCGCCGUAA
rnacentral:rRNA from 1 species